GCUAAAGGAUUCCACUCACAUUUUCUACUCCACUCAAAGCACCUCUGCGUAGGCGUUGAGUCCUUAUAAAAGUCGCUAACAAUGCGCUCAACGCUUCAGUCGAGUUUGAAACUUACACUCACGCGGAGUUGUAAAUAGUUGUUCGAGUUGUUGGCUCGUACUCAAACUGUAGAAAAAUGUAAAAAGUCGACUAAAAACAUAUAUCUAUAUAAUCUACAUAUAAAUAUUUGUUUCCCUGCAGAAAUUCUUUUAAAUUUUUAAGUUCAACGACAAAAAACGACAACAUAAAACGAAACCAACAAAACGACAAAAAAACGAAACGAAAGUUAAAGCUUGCUUAAAAAAUACACACACAAAACGUAGAAAGCAACGUAGUAAACAAAACUAUAUAGAAAAGUAG